rnacentral:rRNA from 1 species
UUAAACCUCUUCCAGAGUAUCAAUUGGAGGGCAAGUCUGGUGCCAGCAGCCGCGGUAAUUCCAGCUCCAAUAGCGUAUAUUAAAAUUGUUGCAGUUAAAAAGCUCGUAGUUGAAUUUCUGCUGCAUUGUAUUUUCUCUUAUAUGAGUUUUUACAUUGUGGCUUAUUUCGGUUAUAAAAUUUUUUAUUUCCGGAUGUUUACUUUGAGAAAAUUAGAGUGCUCAAAGCAGGCUUUUGCCUUGAAUAGUUUAGCAUGGAAUAAUAAAGUAGGACUUUGGUUCUAUUU